UCCUGGUUAGCUCAGUUGGUUGAGCGCUCCACCUGCAAUCGAGAGGUCCCGGGUUAGAUACCCGGACCGGGCG
rfam:Ixodes scapularis strain Wikel colony gcontig_1108379665904, whole genome shotgun sequence.